UGUGGUGUUCGGGAGGGUCCAUUAUCCCGAGAUUAUGCGGUGCGUCCAAGUCCUUCUUGAACGGGGCCACAGCCCAUAGAGGGUGCCAGGCCCGUAGCGACCGCCGCUGAUCGCGGGAGGAUCUCUCCUUAGAGUCGGGUUGCUUGAGAGUGCAGCCCUAAGUGGGUGGUAAACUCCAUCUAAGGCUAAAUAUGACCACGAGACCGAUAGCGAACAAGUACCGUGAGGGAAAGUUGAAAAGCACUUUGAAGAGAGAGUUCAAGAGUACGUGAAACCGUUUAGGGGUAAACCUGAGAAACCCGAAAGGUCGAAGGGAGAAAUUCAUUCGCGUUUCGUAAUCGGCGUUAGGCGGUCGCGUGACGGGAAGCGUUCGCGUUUUCCGCUCCUUCCGUUUAUCGAACCGGCAACGAACGCGUGCACUUUUCUCCUGGUAGGACGUCGCGAUCCGUUGAGUGUCGGUCUACGGCUCGCGGUGGAGCCCGUUCGUACCACGUGUGCGAGCGGACCCGCGUGUCCCGGCUGACUCGCUCGACGGUAUACGAAAGGUUAAAGGCCGCUCUCGGAGCGUUCGACUCGUGGCAAGCGCGCCAGAUGCGUCGGCGAUCGGACCCAGUGCCGAUUCUGACCUCUGGUGACUGUUGGCCGCGAAUGUCUCGGACAGACCUUAGACCAAUCUGCGACGCUAUAGCUUUGGGUACUUUCAGGACCCGUCUUGAAACACGGACCAAGGAGUCUAGCAUGUGCGCGAGUCAUUGGGAAUCACUAAACCUAAAGGCGCAAUGAAAGUAAAGGUCUUCCUCGCGGAGACUGAGGGAGGACGAGCGGUUUACCCUUAAAAGUGGCCGCCCCGCACUCCCGGGGCGUCUCGUUCUCAUUGCGAGAAGAGGCGCACCAUGAGCGUACACGCUGGGACCCGAAAGAUGGUG
rnacentral:rRNA from 1 species